UGACCGUGCGAAGGUAGCAUAAUCAUUAGUCUUUUAAUUGAAGGCUUGUAUGAAUGGUUGGACGAAAAGUGAUCUGUCUCUGUUGAAAUAAUUGAAUUUAACUUUUGAGUGAGAAGGCUUAAAUGGUCUAGGGGGACGAUAAGACCCUAUAAAGUUUAACAUUAUAAUAAUAAAAAGUUAAUUGGAAUUGUAAGAUUUAUUGUUAUAAAUAGUGUUUUGUUGGGGCGACAAGAAUAUAAAUAAUUUAACUGUUCUUUUUUGUAUCAAAUAUAUUUGAAUUAAUGAUCUUUUUAAGAGUAUUAGAGUAAAUUACUUUAGGGAUAACAGCGUAAUUUUUUUUGAGAGUUCUUAUCGACAAAAGAGUUUGCGACCUCGAUGUUGAAUUAAAGAUUCUUUAUAAUGCAGAAGUUAUAUAAGAAGGUCUGUUCGACCUUUAAAUCUUUACAUGAUUUGAGUUCAGACCGGUGUGAGCCAGGUUGGUUUCUAUCUA
rnacentral:rRNA from 1 species